UACGAAGGGGGCUAGCGUUGCUCGGAAUUACUGGGCGUAAAGCGCGCGUAGGCGGCUUUGCAAGUCGGGUGUGAAAGUCCCCAGGCUUAACCUGGGAACUGCAUUCGAGACUGCAUUGCUAGAGUAUGGGAGAGGGAAGUGGAAUUUCCGGUGUAGCGGUGAAAUGCGCAGAUAUCAGGAAGAACACCAAUGGCGAAGGCAGCUCUCUGGGACGGUACUGACGCUGAGGCGCGACAGCGUGGGGAGCAAACAGG
rnacentral:rRNA from 1 species